rnacentral:rRNA from 1 species
UACGUAUGGUGCAAGCGUUGUUCGGAAUUAUUGGGCGUAAAGGGCAUUCAGGCGGGAUGUUAAGUCGGAUGUGAAAUCCCAAGGCUCAACCUUGGAACUGCAUCCGAAACUGGCAUUCUUGAGUUAGGGAGAGGAAGGCGGAAUUCCCGGUGUAGCGGUGAAAUGCGUAGAUAUCGGGAAGAACACCAGUGGCGAAGGCGGCCUUCUGGCCUAUAACUGACGCUGAAGUGCGAAAGCGUGGGGAUCAAACGGG